ACGAAGGGGGCUAGCGUUGUUCGGAAUUACUGGGCGUAAAGCGCACGUAGGCGGAUCGUUAAGUUAGGGGUGAAAUCCCGGGGCUCAACCCCGGAACUGCCUCUAAUACUGGCGAUCUAGAGUAUGGAAGAGGUGAGUGGAAUUCCGAGUGUAGAGGUGAAAUUCGUAGAUAUUCGGAGGAACACCAGUGGCGAAGGCGGCUCACUGGUCCAUUACUGACGCUGAAGUGCGAAAGCGUGGGGAGCAAACAGGA
rnacentral:rRNA from 1 species